rnacentral:ncRNA from 1 species
AAUUGAAAAGCAGAGAGAAAAAGUAUUUAUUGUUUAGAUUUUCAGAGAGUUUGCGUUGGUGGGAGCAAAUAGUCUACUUUAAAGAAGUCCGUCUCUCAUUGUGCGCCUAGCGAAUGAAGCUAGGACGGAAGCAACCGUUAUUUGCUUUAAACAAGAGCAGCUUUAUGCUGAACUCGGGUGGUACCGCGAAAUCAAAGUCAUUUCGUCCCAAGA